GAUGAAGAACGUAGCGAAAUGCGAUAAGUAGUGUGAAUUGCAGAAUUCCGUGAAUCAUCGAAUCUUUGAACGCACAUUGCGCCCCCUGGCAUUCCGGGGGGCAUGCCUGUUCGAGCGUCAUUACAACCCUCAAGCUCUGCUUGGUAUUGGGCUCUGCCGGUCCCGGCAGGCCUUAAAAUCAGUGGCGGCGCCACUCGGCUUCAAGCGUAGUAAUUCUUCUCGCUUCGGAGACCCGGGUGCGUGCUAGCCAGCAACCCCCAACUUUCUCAGGUUGACCUCGGAUCAGGUAGGGAUACCCGCUGAACUUAAGCAUAUCAAUAAGCGGAGGA
rnacentral:misc_RNA from 1 species